GAGAGGUGCGAUGUGCACAAGUUUGUAGAGCAGCUGGUAUCCUACUAGGCAUAAUCAACCAGCUGGCUAGAGACAUGGAGACUGCAGAUCCCAUUAUCAAUCACAGCCUCAAGGUUAAACAUCAACUAGCCUCUGCUGUAGUCCCACAGUCUGUGACCCUGAAAGAUCUCAAACAACACACAGAGCAGACAUUGCUGAUGGAUUAUUUCAAGCUGGUGCACAAUCUCCAAUGCCAUCCACCAGCCAUGAAGGACAGAGUGCCAAAGGUGAUGGAGAGACUUCACCAGUCUCAGCAUCUUCCAACACCAGCGACUAAAGUCCCAGAAACCUCUCCCUUGGUUUGCAGAGGGCAGCCAAGGUGGAGAGGUUUACAGCAGUGUAGUUUACAGUACAAUGCCCUCAUCUGACACAGUGGAAGGAAUUGAAGUCAACUUCACAGGACCAUAGUUUUCCGACUCAGUUCUCUCAGCUCUUCCCCAAUCUUGUACCCCUUCAUUCAGCGGCUCGGUAAUCACAUCUGCCAGUUCUUUCAGACUGAGGUGAGGGUAUACCAGAUAUCUGGGCCAGGAGACUUGAAUUCAUCAAGGGCAAUCAAGUACUCUUCCCAUCUCCAAACCUGGUGUUCUUUCUACUGGUCUAGACCACAAAAUCUAAGUUGUUUGAACCUGUUCUGUUGUGGCAUACAAUCACCUAUGUUGUA